GACAGAGGGUGCGAACGUUGCUCGGAAUCACUGGGCGUAAAGCGCGCGUAGGCGGACCGGAAAGUCGGUUGUGAAAUCCCUGGGCUCAACCCAGGAACUGCAUCCGAAACUCCCGGUCUCGAGUGACGGAGAGGAUAGUGGAAUUCCCGGUGUAGAGGUGAAAUUCGUAGAUAUUCGCAAGAACACCAGUGGCGAAGGCGGCUCACUGGCCCGGUACUGACGCUGAGGUGCGAAAGCGUGGGGAGCAAACAGG
rnacentral:rRNA from 1 species